UACGUAGGGUGCAAGCGUUGUCCGGAAUUAUUGGGCGUAAAGAGCUCGUAGGCGGUUUGUUGCGUCGGCUGUGAAAACCUGAGGCUCAACCUCAGGCCUGCAGUCGAUACGAGCAGACUAGAGUGUUGCAGGGGAGACUGGAAUUCCUGGUGUAGCGGUGAAAUGCGCAGAUAUCAGGAGGAACACCGGUGGCGAAGGCGGGUCUCUGGGCAACAACUGACGCUGAGGAG
rnacentral:rRNA from 1 species